rnacentral:rRNA from 1 species
CGCAAGCCUGACGGAGCAAGACCGCGUGCGGGAUGACGGCCUAAUGGUUGUAAACCGCUUUUCUCUGGGAAGAUGAUGACGGUACCAGAGGAAUCAGCCUCGGCUAACUCCGUGCCAGCAGCCGCGGUAAUACGGAGUAGGCAAGCGUUAUCCGGAAUUAUUGGGCGUAAAGCGUCCGUAGGUGGUUAUUCAAGUCUGCUGUCAAAGCGUGGGGCUUAACUCCAUAGAGGCAGUGGAAACUGGAUGACUUGAGUGCGGUAGGGGUCGAGGGAAUUCCCAGUGUAGCGGUGAAAUGCGUAGAUAUUGGGAAGAACACCAGUGGCGAAAGCGCUCGACUGGGCCUGCACUGACACUGAGGGACGAAAGCUAGGGGAGCG